rnacentral:rRNA from 1 species
GAUGAACGCUGACAGAAUGCUUAACACAUCAGCAAUUGAUUGGUGGCGGACGGGUGAGUAACGCGUAAAGAACUUGCCUCACAGCUAGGGACAACAUUUGGAAACGAAUGCUAAUACCUAAUACUGUUAGAGAGCUUUGGGUCCCAUUAGCUAGUGGGAGAGGGAACGGCUAACCAAGGCGAUGAUGGGUAGCCGGCCUGAGAGGGUGAUCGGCCACAAGGGGACUGAGACACGGCCCGUACUACGACGGGUGGCAGUAGUGGGGAAUAUUGGACAAUGGACCAAAGUCGUAUCCAGCAAUUCUGUGUGCACGAUUAAUUUUUCGGAAUGUAAAGUGCUUUCAGUUGGGAAGCGGUACGAACAGAAGAAGGGACGGCUAAAUACGUGCCAGCAGCCGCGGUAAUAC